rnacentral:rRNA from 1 species
UGGGGAAUAUUGGACAAUGGGCGCAAGCCUGAUCCAGCCAUACCGCGAGGGUGAAGAAGGCCUUCGGGUUGUAAAGCCCUUUUGUUGGGAAAGAAAAGCAGUCGGUUAAUACUCGAUUGUUCUGACGGUACCCAAAGAAUAAGCACCGGCUAACUUCGUGCCAGCAGCCGCGGUAAUACGAAGGGUGCAAGCGUUACUCGGAAUUACUGGGCGUAAAGCGUGCGUAGGUGGUUGUUUAAGUCUGUCGUGAAAGCCCUGGGCUCAACCUGGGAAUUGCGAUGGAAACUGGGCGACUAGAGUGUGGCAGAGGGUAGUGGAAUUCCUGGUGUAGCAGUGAAAUGCGUAGAGAUCAGGAGGAACAUCCGUGGCGAAGGCGACUGCCUGGGCCAACACUGACACUGAGGCACGAAAGCGUGGGGAGCAAACAGGAUUAGAUACCCUGGUAGUCCACGCCCUAAACGAUGCGAACUGGAUGUUGGGUGCAAUUUGGCACGCAGUAUCGAAGCUAACGCGUUAAGUUCGCCGCCUGGGGAGUACGGUCGCAAGACUGAAACUUAAAUGAAUUGACGAGGUCAUAGC